rfam:Triticum urartu cultivar G1812 contig460472, whole genome shotgun sequence.
AGCUGAAUUGCUGGGCAGGGUCUCCUUUGGCAGAUGUGGCGCCGUCAGACACCAGGGUGUGUCGGUGGUUGCCGGCCGGGCUGCUGCCAAAGGAAAUUUGCCCCGGAAUUCAUCU